UACGUAGGAUCCGAGCGUUGUCCGGAUUUACUGGGUGUAAAGGGUGCGCAGGCGGACUGGUAAGUCAGAGGUGAAAUCUCGUCGCUUAACGACGAAACUGCCUUUGAUACUAUCAGUCUUGAGUCCGAUAGAGAUCUGUGGAAUUCCGAGUGUAGCAGUGAAAUGUGUAGAUAUUCGGAAGAACACCAGUGGCGAAGGCAGCAGAUUGGGCCGGUACUGACGCUCAGGCACGAAAGCAUGGGGAUCAAACAGG
rnacentral:rRNA from 1 species